GAUGAACGCUAGCGGCAGGCCUAAUACAUGCAAGUCGAACGGCAGCACGAACUUCGGUUUGGUGGCGAGUGGCGCACGGGUGCGUAACGCGUAUGCAACCUACCCUUAACAGGGGGAUAGCCCGGAGAAAUUCGGAUUAAUACCCCAUAGUAUCAUCAGAAGGCAUCUGAAGAUGAUUAAAGAUUUAUUGGUUAAGGAUGGGCAUGCGUGACAUUAGUUAGUUGGUGAGGUAAUGGCUCACCAAGACGAUGAUGUCUAGGGGUUCUGAGAGGAUGAUCCCCCACACUGGUACUGAGAUACGGACCAG
rnacentral:rRNA from 1 species